rnacentral:rRNA from 1 species
GUGCCAGCAGCCGCGGUAAUACAGAGGUCCCAAGCGUUGUUCGGAUUCACUGGGCGUAAAGGGUGCGUAGGUGGUCGGGUAAGUCUGAUGUGAAAUCUUCGAGCUCAACUCGAAAAUGGCAUUGGAUACUAUUCGGCUGGAGGGUUGGAAGGGGGACUGGAAUUCUCGGUGUAGCAGUGAAAUGCGUAGAUAUCGAGAGGAACACCGGUGGCGAAGGCGAGUCCCUGGACAAUUCCUGACACUGAGGCACGAAAGCUAGGGGAGCAAACAGGAUUAGAUACCCUUGUAGUCC